rnacentral:rRNA from 1 species
UACGUAGGGACCAAGCGUUGUCCGGAAUCAUUGGGCGUAAAGAGCGUGUAGGCGGCUUGUUAAGUCUUGCGUGAAAUCUCGGGGCUCAACCCCGAGCGGUCGUGAGAAACUGGCAGGCUAGAGUGCGGGAGAGGAGAGUGGAAUUCCCGGUGUAGCGGUGAAAUGCGUAGAGAUCGGGAGGAACACCAGUGGCGAAGGCGGCUACCUGGACCAGCACUGACACUGAGGCGCGAAAGCGUGGGGAGCAAACAGG